rnacentral:rRNA from 1 species
CAUGGCUCAGGAUGAACGCUGGCGGCGUGCUUAACACAUGCAAGUCGAACGAAGCUGCUUAAAGGAAGUCUUCGGAUGGAAUUUAGGUAGACUUAGUGGCGGACGGGUGAGUAACGCGUGGAUAACCUGCCUUAUACAGGGGGAUAACGGAGAGAAAUUUCCGCUAAGACCGCAUAAGACCACAGCACCGCAUGGUGCAGGGGUAAAAUAUUUAUAGGUAUAAGAUGGAUCCGCGUCCGAUUAGCUAGUUGGUGAGGUAAAGGCCCACCAAGGCGACGAUCGGUAGCCGGCCUGAGAGGGUGAACGGCCACAUUGGGACUGAGACACGGCCCAAACUCCUACGG